rnacentral:rRNA from 1 species
AAUGAUCGCUGGCGGCAGGCCUAACACAUGCAAGUCGAACGGAUCCUUCGGGAUUAGUGGCGGACGGGUGAGUAACGCGUGGGAACAUACCCUUUGGUACGGAAUAGCCUCGGGAAACUGGGAGUAAUACCGUAUGUGGUCGAGAGACGGAAGAUUUAUCGCCAAAGGAUUGGCCCGCGUUGGAUUAGGUAGUUGGUGGGGUAAUGGCCUAACAAGCCGACGAUCCAUAGCUGGUUUGAGAGGAUGAUCAGCCACACUGGGACUGAGACACGGCCCAGACUCUUACGGGAGGCAGCAGUGGGGAAUCUUACACAAUGGGGGAAACCCUGAUAUAGCCAUGCCGCGUGAUCGAUGAAGGCCUUAGGGUUGUAAAGAUCUUUCAGGUGGGAAGAUAAUGACUGUACCACCAGAAGAAGCCCCGGCUAACUCCGUGCCAGCAGCCGCCGUAA